ensembl:lncRNA
UGUAUGUUUUGUGGAGGUGUGUGGUGGGGUGUGGAGGUGUGUGGUGGGGUGUGGAGGUGGUGUAGGGGUGUGUGGAGGUGUGUAGUGGUGUGUGGAGGUGUGUAGUGGUGUAGUGGAGGUGGUGUAGUGGUGUGUGGAGGUGUGUAGUGGUGUGUGGAGGUGGUGUAGUGGGGUGUGGAGGUGGUGUAGUGGGGUGUGGAGGUGGUGUAGUGGUGUGUGGAGGUGGUGUAGUGGUGUGUGGAGGUGUGUGGUGGGGUGUGGAGGUGGUGUAGUGGUGUGUGGAGGUGUGUAGUGGUGUGUGGAGGUGGUGUAGUGGUGUGUGGAGGCGUGUGGAGGUGGUGUAGUGGUGUGUGGAGGUGGUGUAGUGGUGUGUGGAGGUGUGUAGUGGGGUGUGGAGGUGGUGUAGUGGUGUGUGGAGGCGUGUGGAGGUGGUGUAGUGGGGUGUGGAGGUGGUGUAGUGGGGUGUGGAGGUGGUGUAGGGGUGUGUGGAGGUGUGUGGUGGGGUGUGGAGGUGGUGUAGUGGUGUGUGGAGGUGUGUAGUGGUGUAGUGGUGUGUGGAGGUGGUGUAGUGGGGUGUGGAGGUGGUGUAGUGGUGUGUGGAGGUGUGUGGUGGGGUGUGGAGGUGGUGUAGUGGUGUGUGGAGGUGUGUGGAGGUGGUGUAGUGGUGUGUGGAGGUGGUGUAGUGGUGUGUGGAGGUGUGUAGUGGUGUGUGGAGGUGUGUAGUGGUGUGUGGAGGUGGUGUAGUGGGGUGUGGAGGUGGUGUAGUGGGGUGUGGAGGUGUGUGGAGGUGGUGUAGGGGUGUGUGGAGGUGUGUAGUGGUGUGUGGAGGUGGUGUAGUGGUGUGUGGAGGUGUGUAGUGGUGUGUGGAGGUGGUGUAGUGGUGUGUGGAGGUGGUGUGGAGGCGUGUGGAGGUGGUGUAGUGGUGUGUGGAGGUGUGUGGUGGGGUGUGGAGGUGGUGUAGUGGUGUGUGGAGGUGUGUAGUGGGGUGUGGAGGUGGUGUAGUGGUGUGUGGAGGUGGUGUAGUGGUGUGUGGAGGCGUGUGGAGGUGGUGUAGUGGUGUGUGGAGGUGUGUAGUGGUGUGUGGAGGUGUGUAGUGGUGUGUGGAGGUGGUGUAGUGGGGUGUGGAGGUGGUGUAGUGGGGUGUGGAGGUGUUGUAGUGGGGUGUGGAGGUGUUGUAGUGGUGUGUGGAGGUGGUGUAGUGGGGUGUGGAGGCGUGUGGAGGUGUUGUAGUGGUGUGUGGAGGCGGUGUAGUGGUGUGUGGAGGUGUGUAGUGGUGUGUGGAGGUGGUGUAGUGGUGUGUGGUGGUGUAGUGGGGUGUGGGUGUGGAGGGUUAAGAUGAGAUGAGUUCUGUUCUGAUGAGAUGAGAUCUGUUCAGAUGAGAUGAAAUGAGU